UUCCUUUGAUAUUUUCUUUGAAUAGCGCUGUGGUGUUGAAAACUGGAAAAUAAUAAAGGAACGCUUGAAUUUUCCUGUGUUCCUAUAUAUGUUUCUCUACGUAUA